rnacentral:rRNA from 1 species
AAUAGAUACCCGGGUAGUCCACGCCGUAAACGAUGUCGACUUGGAGGUUGUUCCCUUGAGGAGUGGCUUCCGGAGCUAACGCGUUAAGUCGACCGCCUGGGGAGUACGGCCGCAAGGUUAAAACUCAAAUGAAUUGACGGGGGCCCGCACAAGCGGUGGAGCAUGUGGUUUAAUUCGAUGCAACGCGAAGAACCUUACCUACUCUUGACAUCCACGGAACUUUUCAGAGAUGAAUUGGUGCCUUCGGGAACCGUGAGACAGGUGCUGCAUGGCUGUCGUCAGCUCGUGUUGUGAAAUGUUGGGUUAAGUCCCGCAACGAGCGCAACCCUUAUCCUUUGUUGCCAGCGGUCCGGCCGGGAACUCAAAGGAGACUGCCAGUGAUAAACUGGAGGAAGGUGGGGAUGACGUCAAGUCAUCAUGGCCCUUACGAGUAGGGCUACACACGUGCUACAAUGGCGCAUACAAAGAGAAGCGACCUCGCGAGGGCAAGCGGACCUCAUAAAGUGCGUCGUAGUCCGGAUUGGAGUCUGCAACUCGACUCC